CUCCGCCACCGUAUAAGCCGUAUCGUUCGGUCGAUCAUGUCAUACGUGCUCUGAUUUGGGAAUCCACGUGUGGCUUACCUCCUGCUUCCUCCCGCUUUCUCUGUUCCUUGUUGGCUUGCCGUGCUGGACGACAGCAGAUCGAUGGCGGUGCUUGAAAACGACUCCGGGAGUUCAACUUCCACAUUGGAUGUUCUUCUGUUUCUUUUGAUUUGAUCUUUGUUCUUUCUUUGUUCCUAAUGGAAGCCAUGGCUGCGGGCUUAUUGGAUUUCCCCCAGCUAUCUCAACCUCUUGGCUUCCUUGGUGUGGGUUCGAUCUCUUUAUUUGUUCCUAAUGGACGCCAUUGCUGUGGGUUUCUUGGAUUUCCCCCAAAUAUCUCAACCUCCUGGUUUUCUUGAUGUGGGUUCGAUCUCUUUCUUUGUUCCUAAUGGAAGCCAUGGCUGCGGGUUUUCUUGAUGUGGGUUCGAUCUCUUUCUUUGUUCCUAAUGGAAGCCAUGGCUGCAGGUUUCUUGGAUUUCCCCCAACUAUCUCAAGCUCUUGGCUUUCUUGAUGUGGGUUCGGUCUCUUUCUUUGUUCCUAAUGGAAGCCAUGGCUGCGGAUUUCUUGGAUUUCCCCCAACUAUCUCAAGCUCUUGGCUUUCUUGAUGUGGGUUACUUCUCUUUCUUUGUUCCUAAUGGAAGCCAUGGCUAUGGGUUUCUUGGAUUUCCCUAACUAUCUCAACCUCUUGGCUUCCUUGAUAUGAGUCCGAUUGCUUUUUCUGUUCCUAAGGGAAGCCAUUGAUGUGGGUUUCUUGGAUUUCCUCAACUAUCUCAAGCUCUUGGCUUUCUUCAUAUGUGCAUACAGGUACUGGCUAUUUUGUGAGUUGGGGUAUAGAUGAUGAUUUCUUUCCAUGAAAAGCAGACAUGAGAUAGCAAAUUAAGUCUAUUCCUAAAUUGGUGUGAGUUUAAAUUUGAAUGUCUCUACUGUGUGGUUGCAUCAUAGUAAUCUGCCUAUUUGUUAAAAAAAGGUGACUGCAUCAAGUCUCUUUUGGUAUGUGAUCUAUGGUUGACAGUUCGGUAACUUUGGAUGGCUUGUGAAACAUGAAAUGAUUUCUUUUUUCUCAUUAAGUUUUUUGCAUUUCAGAUGUUUCAUGUAGAAGCUUAUUGAGGUCCUAAGAAUAUGACUAGUGUGUAAUAUUUAUCAGAUCUGUGAAAAAUCCUAUCCUUACUCUGCACAGGCAUCUAUUUACUCUCUGUUAUAUUGAUGGAAUUUAUCUGUUGUGAAUGUAGUGAUCAGAUACUUGCUGUAAAAAAUAGGUUGAUGCUUACAAGACUUUAUAAAGUAGUUUUAUAAAGCAAAUUAACUACCUAACAGGAGUUCUGGACAUCAAGUUUGCUUACCACUUUAAAAAUUAUCGGAAAGAGAGAGGUAUGGAUGUUUCAGGGUUUGGUGAUGGUUUUAGAUUUGCUUAGAAAGAAGACUUGAGAAGAAGCUUGGCAGGGUGAUAAAUAUUUUAUUUCCAUUUAGGUUAGAUAAUGAUCAGUGAUAUGAAAAAAAAAGCAUUGUCCAAUUUGUCAUAGUCAGUUUUUUUUUCCUUUACCAAAGAUUAGAAAGUAGAACUUGCUUGUUUACAUCUACAAGUCUUUGGUCAAUUUUUCAUAUUGCUUUUAAAUAUUUAAAGGUAAGGUUGCGUACAUUGACCCUCUCUAGACCUCGCAUUGGUAGGAGCCUCGUGUAUUAGGUAUGCCCUUUUUGGCAAAGCUGCAGUUUUGAAGUCAAGCAGUAAGAACUUAAUCUAAGCACUUUAUAUAAUCUCAUUUUCUCAUAUGGUAAUUAUGGCUUAACUAAGAGUUCAUAUCAUCUUUUAAUUUGUUGAGCUUGCAUAGGCAAGUAAUUGUAUUUCAUUAGGAUGUCAGGUCAAUAAAACAACUACAGAAACAGAUCAAAUUUAAACAAUGCUGUUGCAUGUGCAGAAAAACCAGCAGAUAUGUGACAUGAGAUAAUACUCCUGGUGUUGGUCACCAGCAGAGAUGAAGCUGCUGAUUGAAAACAGGAAAACAUGCAUUUUAUGAUUUAAUAGUUUUUGCAGGACAUAAACAAUCUUUAUAAUACUUUGACUGAACUACACCUGGAAUAUUGUAAAUGUCUGAAUAAUAUAUAAAAUACAUAAACAUAUGCAUAUACACAUUUGUGUCCGUGUGUAUAGAUAUAAAGACAUGCAUAUAGAGCAGAAGUUCUUUGAUCCAAUAUUUCAAGUUGUAUUUAUACAUUGAGUCUCUCUGUUCCUCAUCCUCGCAUGUUGAGAUGGUUUUGCAGGCCAAACUUGGUUAGAACCUCAUUGCUGUUGCUUCCUAUUUCUGCACAUCUAUAUUCAAACCAUCCUUGCUGUAGGAGCAGUGAUCUUGUUUAUGUGAUUCCAUAUUGCACUUACAAUCCUUAUGUUCUUAAUUAUAUCAGCAACUCUUGGCUACAUAAGUAGGUCUGACUGACUUCUGAUAGCCCAUCUAUCAUAUGAUCCUUCAUCUGACCAUCGUUUUUCCUAUCUACAUGCUUAGGUUUUAGGUUAAGCAAGUUAUGAUUUGUAUGUUAAAAGUAGCAUGUAUGAUGAAUCAUGCUGUCAGACAAAGGGGUUAUUUUCUAUUUGGAAUAAUCAUAGACAAGGAAACUGAAGACUAGUGUAAUCAUUCCAUCUGAUUUUUUUCUUCUGAGCUCAACUUUAAGCUAGCUCAAGCAUUCAUAGAUUGGUUGGUGUCCUCUAUAAUUUGAUCACUUUAUUGGAGCCAUCAAUUUUCUUUCCACCAUUUGAAAUCAUCUACUGCCCAAAGAAAACAAAAAGCCGGUUACAUGCCAAUCCAUCAUUCUGCUGAAUGUAAAGAGUUCUAGAACUUCAGCAUCCAACAUAGAAAUUUGAAUCUAGAUGCUUUUCUUUCAUGUCCAAGAUAGAUUGAUUAUCUCAUGCCUACUCCAGCUGGAUACGAAACCAUUGUUCACAAACUCGGAGAUAAUACAAUAUAAGUAGUUUGUUCAGUCUCGUAGUUUUUGCCAUUAUAUUGUCUUCUUUAUUCUCUUUUUGUUUUAUAUAGAAUGGGAGGAUUAGUAUUUGUUUAGGAGAACGUUAGGGCAUAUUGGAUAUGUGCAAUCUUUGUCUGUCUAUAAACAUCUCCUGUGCUAGCUAUUCUAGUAUAAGGCUGUUUUAGGAAACUCAAUGCUGCAAUCUUUUUCAUGAUGCUUCUUUUUUACAUUGCAUGAAUUAUUUGCAUCGUCAAAUGUCGAAACAAGCUAAAUGGCUGGUAUUGUCUUCACAUUUAUUGGCAUUUUAUUGUUGUCAUCAUUAAUGAGUUGCGAUAGUUGUAGUUACGAAUAGAUCAUUGUGUUUCAUGCAGCGUGAUUUAUGUGUUUGACAGAUCCUUAUAUUAGGAAAAAAAAAUUUGUGGGUAACAUUUUGUUCUUGUCAGUAGUUUUCACUACAUUAGAAACUAUUUCUCCUCAGACAUUUUAACUCUAGAAUUCUAUACCUUGAUUAAAUGUCAUUUUAAUGCUCCAUAUUACAUUUAGUUUAACAUUGACAUCAGUAGGGCAUUGUCCGGAUGCCUUGUAUUCAUGCUUUAAUUAUGUUUUCUGAGUCUGAACACUCAUUUUUCAUGUUAAAUGCUUUUUUAUUCUUACGGAGUCGUGUCUGUAUGUAAAUGGUAAUAUUGGCCUACAUGUUAUACAUUAUGCACCUUGAAAAAUUUUAGAUACUCUCUAACCUUAACUUUAUUUUCCUCUUUUUACUGGAAUUAUACAAUCUUUGACAGGGGAAGAUGAUUCUUGCACACCUAUUCGAUGAACCAUGGGGUUUGAAAACUGGAAUGUGAAUGUAUGGACCUCUUUCUGAACCUGUGACUCUGCACCUAUAUUCCUGUUUAUAUCUCUAUAUCAAGUAUGCCAUUCAUCAUUCAUCACAUUCCAUUCCUCAGAUUUCUGAAUCUUGAACAGAUAGGAUGUUGCAAAUACCUUUUUUACUUACUCUGAUCGGUGACUGCCACCGAACUUAUUUAUUUCACCAGGAUUUUUCGUUGCUUUUUCCGCAGAGUUCCGCUUGUUGAUGAGUAUAUUGUUAUUGUUUAUUGCUUGUUCACAGAUAAUUUGCUUUCUCCAGUUAAAGAUUAGGUCGUAGUGCACUUGUUAGGAAGG
rnacentral:lncRNA from 1 species